GUUGGUUUACACUUCUAGAGGAUCUUGCUGUGUUGCAAGAAGGAAAUGGCUCUUUACCCUUAACAAUCUCAGUAGAUAAGGAUCACUAGCUGCCAGAGAACCUGCUUUUCUGAGUAGUGAUGUAAAGCCAGCAGGGCUGGUGACAAGGGCUUGCCUUUCCAAGGCAGGAUUCAUCCCAGGAGAGCGUGGUACACAGCAGUCAACAGCUCUGGCAGUGCUGCAGCUGAAUAAGCAUGAGCCUGGGGUGCUUCCUAACCUAGCUGAAUUCUAAGGAAGAUUGAAUUCUGACUCCUUUUGCACUGGGAAGCCAAGCAACCACACAACUUGCAGGACCUGGGAUAGUUUUCUUCUCAUGGAAUUAAGAGAAAUGUGACCUGCUGACUGAUUCUACAACCUCCAUUGUGGGUCGUGCUGGACCUUCCUGAUGGCUUCUCAGGGUCUCUCUUGUCUUCCUCAGCCUGGAGCCAGCCUCAAACAUACAACAAAGACCAUUCAGGAGCUAAUAUCAGAAAUUUCAGCUAUGUUUGAUUCAGACCUUACACCCAUGCCCUGAUGGGCACCUAGAAUAAGAAACAGAAUGGUUGCAAUAAAUAAUUGCACUUAUGCCAUUUCAUUUCUCUGGAGUCAGAUCCUGAUUGUACCCAUCAAACUCCAUUCAUGUGAAUACUCCCAUUGAUUAAGGAAAGGGAGGAAAUAUGCUGCGUUACCUGUAGGAGGUGUGCCUGCUUUUGCUAACAGAUGUUGCUGCUUCGUGAAUGAAUGCCUGACUGGUCAGAUCCUUUCCUGAUGCACGCUGGUAUCUCUGGGCUGAAAAAUUCUCCUCAUAAAUCCCAGAUGUGACAGCAGCAGUAUGACCCAUCACUUCAUUACAUCAACAUGCAAAUCUCUGAAUUGUGCUGAGGAGGAGCUUAACUAGUCAGAAUGGAUCCAGUCCAGAUACGUCAACUUCCAGGAAGGUUUUGACAAAUGACACAACUGAUGACGACUUCAAACUCACCAUGCAGUACUGUCCCAAGGAACAAAAGACAAGAUAAAGCCGUUUGAGUGGGAGGACUUGGAGGAGAGAGGAAAUGAGGCCACCGGUGGAACUUGCAGGUGUGAGGGACUCCUUGUUUGCAAGGCCAAAGCUUCCCGUUUCUCAUGGAGCUGCAGGAGGGAUGGAGUGAGCGUGGGAUACAGGUACGAUACAAGACCAAGAUGAGUCAGGACAUCACUAUAGUAAUCAUCAGAAUGGUUUGGGAGUUAAUGGGAGCCUUUGGGCAAGCCCUACACUCUCCUGAUUCCGCAGUGGCAGAAACAGGUCUCUGGUGAGCCUCUGGAUUGUGACACUUCCUAUCUCCAUGUGUCCCCUCCUGGUGUUGUACUUCUCUUUGUGCCUUGAGCUCUAUCGGUGUUACAAGGAUCUGAAAAUGGAUGUGCAAUGGCCAAGUGUAAGUCAUAUUACUCCGUGGCAGAAAGAGAAAUGUUCAAGCCUGGAAACACAUAAGUUAAUAAAAAACUCGUUUCUCUUGCCUACUUUCAAAAGAACAUACCUUAUUAUAUUAAUUCCCUUGUCAUUAAUCUAAUAAGACACUACUUUGUUCAUAAUUUACUAUACCAUUCAAUAAGCAUUGUAAUAUUUGUGCAGGGCAAGUAUAUAAAUCAUAGUUGCCCUUCUCUACUUUUUUACUUAUCUGGUUCUUUCAAGGUCACUAACCUACCUUAUAGCUCUCAUCUGGUUUAAAUAUUCUGCUAUUACCUUUUACACCUCGCUCCCUGGUCCAUGCCUAUUUAGAUAUCUGCAGCUGCAUCUUCUCAAAUAACUAUUGAUCCAUGUCUCCUUGCUAAAGGUUACUAACUUCAUCAGCAGUAAUGAUAUAAAUUACAUCUGUUAAGGCUCACUUGCAUCUUUUUUCUGAUCAGAAGGCAAUGACUGUUUUCUGAUUCUGACCAUCUUUUCUGACUGGGAUAGCUGAAACACGGGGAAAAAAUAUCUUCAGGAUAAUGUCUUUAUUUUGACACACGCAGAUGUCCAGGCCCCAGUCAUGCAGAGAGUUUAAUCAGUCCCUACUGAUCUCCAAGAAUCUGAAAUGUAGCUGGAUAAGGACCCAGUCCAGCAAAGUACUUAAGGAUAUCCUCAAGUAAACAUAUGAUGAGCCCCAUUUUUAGCAGGAUUUAGCAAGAAGUGCUUUUUGGAGUGGAGCAUCUCGGAAGACGCUGCUUCUUGGAAGGGCUGUGUAAGACCAAGGUUCACCAGCACCAAAUGCAAUCUCAGUCCAAAUUGUCUGGUUGUCUUGCACUCAUCAAAGCAACUCUGCUCAACAGUAUUGCUUGCAGUGAUGGCUCCAUGCCUCAGGGGAGGCUGGUGAACUGUGACUUCUUCAUAAGUGCACAUUUGUGACUGCACACCUCUUAGUACGUUUGAGUUUCUUUUGCUGACUAUCAAAGAGACAACAAAAUAAUCUAGGAGUGGGCAGAGGAAUCUUCUGAGUCCUGCAGGACCCAGCAGCUGUGUUCGCUGUGUGACAUCUGGACACUUCAUCAGAUCUUCUGGCUUUGGAGUACCUUGAACCACGUGCAUCAGUGCUAUCCUAUGCUGAAAAGCACAAAGAGCAUCAGGAGACAAUGAGGGGGAAGGAAGCCCAUUGCCUGCCAUGGUAGGGUAUUCACUCCUUCCUCCAUCACGGACAUCUCUUUGGCUGUGUUGUGGCUAACGAAGAACAAGGCUGGGACUGUUAUUACCACAGAAUGGAAAAAAACAGGGCUUGAAGAUACCCAAGGAGGUAAUCUCGUCUGACCCUAUGCAAACAGUUCUUGACACUUGUUUAUUUGACAUGUUUCCCUAACCUUCCCAGCAGCAGUGAGUCCCCCCAGCCUCCCAGGUAAUUUUCAAUGGUCUUUGCAACAAGGAAGAUUUUCAUAGACAUAUAUAUAAGUAUAUGUAUAUAUAUAUAUAGACAUAUAUAUAAGUGUGUAUAUAUAUAUAUAUAUAUAUAUACUUAUAUACUUAUAUACUUUUUAAGUCUCCCUUGCUGCAUUUAAGCCCAUUACUUUUUGUGUUUUCCCUAUGGACGGCAAUUUAUUGCCUAUCUCUUUGGAGAAGACUUUUACAUAACUGAGGACCGUUAUCACAACUCCUCUCUGCCUCCCUUGCUCUAGACUAAAUAGCCCAGAUAGGAGGAUGAAAGCUGGAAUGGGGUGUCAGGGAGAAGGGGCUAGAGAAGGAAAUCACAAAGGGAUUAGUCCUGCUUCCUGCCUGUGCAGAAAUGGAUAUUUCCUUCCAAACAGUGGGGGUGUGGAAGGGGAGAGGUUUUUCCAUGCUGGUGAUUCACCACUGCAGCUCCAUAUCUAAUUGGGGGAAUGCUGCCUCACAGCCUGGAGAUGAGGGGUUUGGGCUGAUCGUUGCUGAACUGUGAUGCUCCUGCCCAGCCUGUGUGCUUGGGAAAUAAUUUUAUAGCAAUGAGGAGCAAAUUCAACUCACAGGUCAGCCCCACUGGGGUGUGUUUGGUUACACUUCUGUGUUUCUAGGUAUGGUCAUUUAGUAUGGCCCCAUCUACCCAUCAGCCUGUAGCAGCAUCCACCACGAGCCCUGCCAUGGAGUCAGAGCCCUAAUGCCAGAAGGAUUUCAGGUGGAGUGAUGCUGCAGCUCCACGCCCUGCACACGGGAUGGAGAGCCGCCCGCCACCCACGCUGCGACAUGUGUUCCGCAACCUGAUGGCUGUUCAUAAAACCAGCACGUGGAACAGGAAAAUGCCGUCUGAUCCAAAACGCCCUGGGGUGUAUUAUGUCAAUGUCAUAUCCAUUAGGAAAGUACAGCGAGCGCGCCGAAUGGCUUCUUAUGCUCAGAGCCCGUUUCUAUUAUUCACAUCUGCUGUCAGAGCUGCAGCACGUACACAGCCCCAGCUUUGUGGCUGUCCAAACCUGCAGGAAACAAAAAUAGCUCCCAGCCUGGAGAGCUCUGAAAGCACAAGGUGGGGGAUAAUGUAGGAAAAAAGAAUGUGGCUCUUUACUGCUUUACUCUCCCAAACGGCUUUCAGUGCCACCUGUAGCUCAAAGUGUUCCAAAAGCAGCACUUAAGGUAGAGCUGUUUUCCCUAUGCUACAUAGGAUGACAAGUUUAUUUACAUUAGGAAAGGGUUGCCCUUGAAGAAAACCAAGAAUUAGAGGCUGUUUUGGAUAGCAGAGAAGUUCUUUGCUUUGCCAGUGUGGAACAGCCCAGCUCCAGCUUCCCCUGUUUCUCAUUGCUGCAGAUGUUAAGACUCUCCAGUUCAAUUUCACAAGAAAAAAAGCUUGAUAAAUUACAAUCCAAAUGAAUUUUCUUUAGCUCUCCUUCCUCCCUGGAGUGAUUUUGGAGGUGACAUUUGUAUUUCUGAAUUAAAACCACAUUUGCCCAAGGCCUGGAAGGGAGGAGGCAGGGGCAGAAGGGAGAGAAACCCUUUUGUUCUCUUCCUGGUGGUUCCCCCUCACCUGUUAGGGCCAAGCUCCAAAGUAAUUCCUAACAGCUGAGGUUAGCCAGGGACAUCUAAUCCCCGAAAGCUGGCUCUGAAUUCCUGCACCAGCACAUAGUGCUCGUGUUUCAGCAGCAGCCAUUUACAUGUAAUUCUCCCAAACCUCUGGAGAAGUGUGAGUAUGUACAGGUAGGUACUUAUUUAAUGGAAAAGAAAAUAUAUACAUAUCUAUAUAUAUUUCACAAAUCAGAGCUUAAGUGGCAUCAAUAUCAGUGGCAGUGUGCAAAUUUUUAAAGGUAAAAAGGCUCAGGAAAUGCAUUAAGGACAUACCAGGGUCUUUCCUGCAUACCCUAAACAGCCGUGUCUGUAGGACAUAUAAGAACUGCGAUUCUCAGCCAAAGGAAGGGUGAGGCUUCUUUCUCUGAUUACCCCUAAUGCAAAAAAGAUCCCACUUGGGUUGUGCAAGUGGGGCUUCAGGUAUCUUAUGGUUUGCUGCAAUGACCUGUUUGCUUACAGAGUGGGUGUACGGAGCAGCACAGCGCCCCAAUGAAGAGAAACCUACUGGGAUUUGGCGCAUCGAGGUGAGAUAAUGCAGUGCCCAGAGGCUCACUCCUAGGGAAAUGCCAUCCUAGCUCAUCUGUCAGGAUUCUCCCUCUGGAAAAGAUCAGAGCAAAUGGGGAAUGAGGAGAAUAAAAGCUGUCCCAAACCUUUGACCUAAACUUAAGAUCUCCAAAGUUCUUUCCAGUGUCACACCUGAAGGGUAUAUUAAAACACCCAGCACUGGUGACAGCAGCGACUCACUGAGAGUACUGAAAACCUUCCUGCUCCUCCUGCAGAAGAAACAGAAUAUACUGCAUUAAGCCAGCCGCUGUCCCAUUACCUGAAGGAGAUUAAUACCAAUGGGGCUAUUUCCCAUAUACAAGGAGAGACUGCAAGAUGAGAGGAGCAAAAGAAGUUGCAUGUCCAGAGAACCUGCAGGAGUCUCGAGCUUUAGAACUUCCUGCAAGUCUGGUUACACCAAAUGGAGAUUGAUGAGAAAACACAUUUUGAAAUUAUUAAAGCUCCUUCUUCAAGAAAAGUGCAUUCCUCUGGUGUUGGACAUUCUAGGACAUCAAGCUCCAGGAGAAAGCAUGGUAGAAGAACUUGAGAUCUGAUCUGAAGCAGCACAUUUAAAAUACAUAACUAACAGAACAAGAGCGUUAUUUCCCUUUGUCCUUGUUUCCUGGGAAAAGCAUCAGAAGUGCUGAGCUUUUGAAGAUCUUCUCCCUGUCAUCCUGAAGCACUGACUGGUCAAUUAAAAUAAUAUCUCCUUUGGAAAGCAUUAACUGCAGCUGAGAAUGAAAGCUCCACUCUACUGUAUCUAUUUUACCCAUUCAUUAAUUUACAUAACUCUCUCCACCGUGAAUCAGGUGUCUGUAGGCACAUCUCAAAAGGAGGAGAAGAUCACAAAAAUAGACAUUUCUGUUAGAGAUUAACCUUCCAUAUGUUGCAGAUCUCUCUCAGACACUUAUCUUCGCUUAUCUGCACCUGUUUAAAUUGGAAAACCCACAGAAAUCCAUCUCCUGGGAGAUUUCCAAGGUUUCUUGAUUUCAUUUGGGUCAGAGCUGCCACAAGAGAUGCAUUUCUCAGAGACCUUCUAAGCUGCUGCCAGGAACAGGGAGUGCUGGGCUGUGCCACUUCAACAAUAACAGAAAGAGUUUUCUUUGAAAAGUCACCAAAUUUUAUAAGCUUAAAAAAAAAACAAACAAAAAAAAAACCCAAGCAAGCAAAAAACAAAAACCAACUUUAGCCUCGUUCAGUCUCAGAUCUGAUUAAAAGAGCUGCCCUGAUUUAUUGGUGUCAAACAAAGUAUGUUUGGGUAGAAUGCUAUUUUGUAAUGGAAAAAGCAUCAGUGGAAGCACCGCCUCUCAGUGCUGCUUGGGUUGGAUGAGUGCUAAGCCUUAAAUUAUGACUGUACUGCUGAAGAAAAGGAGGACUGCUGGAAAUGCUGCAGCUAAGAGGCCUAUCUCUCACUCUUCCAAAUAAAGGUAUCUGUGGAAUCAGCCUCAGCAGUAACACCAGAUCUGCUGGCUAAGUACUGGGCAGUAUCUGCCCACUCUGUGCUUCACCUGCCCUGCAGAGCAGGUGGGAAAAGGUUUAUUGUUCCUCUUCUACCAGAAAUGUUGAGCUCUAAAUGCAGAGCAAAGUUUUGGGGAAUGAUUCACAGGAUAAAUUUUCUGUAUACAUGAAUUUAGUUUAAUAGUCUCUUGUUGCUUCCUGAUGUCCUUCCAUCUUUGUAUUAUCAUCAUUUUUAAUGGUUAAGCCCUUUUAUUUUGCCUAACUUCUUGUUCAUCCACAUUUCCUCAGCCAGGAACCUUCUCCCAGAGCAUUGCCACCAAGAUGAAUCUGCAGGGUCCGCCCAGAGACACCUGGAAAAUCAAGUGCCAGAAAGCAGCGGUGCAGGGGAGCCAGCACCUCUGUUAAUAAAUCAUUUCAUACCUGCAAGUACUUGUCCCACCAAGCCAAAAAAAAAACAUCAACCUACUCAUGCUCUUUUCCCCAAAACACCACAAAAGUGACUUUUGGCCUUUAAAUCUGAUCUGUUUCCAUUUGAGAAGCCACCGAGACUAUAGCUGAGACUAGAAGAUUAUUACCAAAUAUUAAUUUAAUUCAAUAAAAGUUACUGGGAAAAAUCAGCUGUGAUAUGCAACUGGAAAAGACAGCACUGCAGUUAUCAGAGCCCCCUGUACAUUUUUCUCCUGAUCAAAAAUGCUGCAGAUGCUUUAAAAUAUAAAAAGAGAAAAAAAAAAAAUAGAUGGUCUUUGUCAUAUAACUAUAAGCAGCAUUUAUUUUGCAUGAGCAAAAUUGUCUUCUGCCUUAAGAUGUUUAAUGAUUAUUUGAAAGCAACUUGAUGAAUAGAAGAGCGCUUACUCCCACACGGGACAAGCGUAUUUUUAGACUGAUUCAUAAUAAUCAAUCUCUGUCGAAGUGGAAUGCAAUAAUUUCUCCUACUGGUAGGGGCUUUUCUGCUGCUUCUUUUCUGCUGCUUCUUUUCCUAAGGUAGAUAGUUCUGCUCUGGGAGCAUAUUAGCUGAUUUAAGUGGACGCGAGCAGGUACUCAGUUGUGUCACUGUUAUCUCAAUGAUCUCUUAAGGAACACAGAGUACUUAUUUUUUGUGGAUACGGCGUACGCUGUGUUUCAUCACAGACCUUUGUCGCUUUGUUAUUUAUAGAAUUCAGAUUACUGCAAUUUAAAAGUCUCUCCGUCCUUGCUAGUGCACGGUGACACAAAACAAACCCAAGUGUUAAGGAGAAAAAGAAAGAAAAACCAAACACAAAAAGAAAAAAAAAGAAAGAAAAUGAAAGCAGCAAUGUGGAAAUGCACAGCUAUAAAGGGAAGUGUUAUUAUUUGCUAAUAGUUUCCAUGUAGAAGUUUGCUGCUGAGUGCUGGGCUCUGUGCAGCGCAGGGGGAUGCAGAAAGGCAUCUGCCUCCAUGUCCCUCCUGAUGUAGGCAGAGCAGGACCGCAGUGCUCACCAAGUUCCUUUUUUAGUAAAAUCACUCCUUGUCCAAGUGCUGCUGGCCCCACCAUGUGCCAGAAAUACCCGCGGUCCUUUGGGACGCGCAGCCCGUGGCCCUGCCCGAGCCCCAGUCCACCCAGCCCAUCAGGUCCCUCCCAGCCAGGGCUGGUGGCAGCACUGCUCGUAGAUUCAUUUGAAGGUUCAGCAGACAGAAAGCAUAGACUAUUUAUUUAUUUAUUUGGUUGGUUUUUGGCACGGGAUAGCAAAUAACACACGCAGCUGUAAAAGACUGAGCUCAGGGCAGGAUGUCACAGGCUGCAGGCUCUGUGUUCUGUCAUCAGUUUCUUCCAUACUCAGUUUUGCCUUUUCUGUGCUGCUGCCACUGGGGUACAGACAGACCCAGAGAAAUGAUGCCAAUCUGCUACUGGCCCUGCAUGCUCUGGCCUUUUCCAGCCUCAGAGAAGGUUUUGGCCCUAAAACCUUUGCCAGGAGUCAUCCCUACAAAUCAAGAUGUUUCCCCUCCAGGUGAGAUGAUGCUUUGUAUGGGGCAGGCUGCUAUCAUGUUGCACUCGAUGGAGAUGUGUUAGCAAGGCAGAGGGAAAAUGAGGUGUGGUGGAGCCAUACAAAGUGAGCUUAGGGCUCAGUGGUGGUGCUGGGAUCUAAAGUGCUGCUAAUGAGGCUAAUAAGGAACUUGUGAGAGGGAAGGAAGUGGUUUCAGGUCCGCUUGGAUGUUAAUGAAUGUGACAGGGACAGACUUAGGGUGGAGAAGUCAUGGUUGGGAAAGGGUCAAGUUGAGGUAUUUGGGAUAGACUCCCAUUGAGAUGUUUAAGGAACUGAGCUGCUGUCUACUGAGAUGGUGCUUUCUCCAGUACCUGUACAGAGCUCAGCACCUAUGGUUCAGAUCUAACCUUCCCAAAGGUUACCUGUGUCUGCCAGCAGACAUGUCAGAUAUCUGCACACAUGCACCAUGUGGAUAGAGGAGGUGAUAACAAGCAAGCAAGAACAUCUCUGAUGUAGGGAACCAUAUACUGCUCAGUGAGUCAAGCCUUAGUGAUAGUCAGAGAAUUGUUUGACUUAGAAAGGACCCUUAAAGCUCAUCUAGUCCAACUGCCCUGCAGUGCUCUAAUCAGGUGCUUGAAGCCCCAUCCAGUCUGACCUUGAAAGUCAAGUACUAAGUAGUGACCAAUACUUCCUACGUGCUGAGAGGUGAGUCUGGGGCUUCAGGGCAAGGCAGGGUGUUCCCAUGCACAUGAAUGUCAUCCUGAUGAACUGGGUUUAGUUUCUUCAGCUACCUGAAGCUUACUUUUGUAUUUUUGAGAAAAGGAUUGCUUUUCAAAGGCAUCGAGUGUUCCCAGUCACAGUAGUUAUUCAUGAGAUUAGGGUUUUACAAGCAAAACAUAUAUGUCUCUGAGAAACAAGAUUUCUGGCCAGUCUGGAUACCCCAAGACUGGAAGAACUUUUUUAUUUUAAUCUGAUUAUAUUUCAUCUGUCCCUAUUCUCAGAACAUGUGAUAUGACUGCAGGAAAACUUAUGUUGGUUUUUGGAUGACCCGUUAAUGAGAAGUACAGAAAGCCCACGAGGCUCUGUACAGUCCUGUCUUGCUGUUACUUGAUCUCAGAAAUAAGGCAUGGUGUCAUGCAGUAAACAUGAAAUAGAAAACCAAACAUAAAGUCAUUAAAAAUGUGCCAUCUGCUCCGUGCAGAUGAGGAGCAGAAAAUUCUUAGGAAAACUCUAAGGAAUUUCUUAGAAACUUGACUGCUGUUGCUGAACUGAAGUUACAGUGCUCGUGCACAUCCUUGUACUUUUGCAUAGAUGAGGUCUGAGUUCAGCUGCUUGUCUGACAUAGGGUCAUAUUCAUUCUGACACCAGGCGUUAUGUUGCACUAGGAAUAAAGCAGACACUUGCUGACAGAGUUAAGCUGUACUCACAGUGAGGGAUGGUGGCAUUGCUGGGCCCUGUGUUGAAGGCUGGAGAUAGCUGAUCCAUUCCUGCAGCUCCCAACCCUGCUGGGAACCUGAACUGUUAACCUGAAUGCUCAUUUUAAUAUGUUUUCUGCUGAAACUGUUUAAAAGCAUCUCUGCUGCUGUGAUUUUUGCUUAUUUGUCAUAAAGGGGAAAAAACACCAAACAGGAAUUAACAAGAGGAUUUUCUUUGUGACUUCAGUACCUCAUUAGGAGGUUUAUGAUCAGGCUUUGGGAAAGCUUUCCUUGAAUUAUUUUAAGGUUGUAAUGAUAAAAACCUCGGGGAGGUCAUGCACAUGGGAGAUUUAAUACCCCUUCAGAACCAUCUGGCAUUAGAUUACAUGCAGGGAAAGAACAAAAUCUGGCAGUAAUAUUCAUCUCCAUUAACCCAGAAUAUAGGCUGAUAUGAUUAUAGUGGAGAAAAUGCUCUCACUCUGUCACCAGGAAAAGCUCUUAAUAGACCCAGGCUAAAUUGGUUUAUAAAACUGAAGACUUCUUGAAGCAUGGAUCUGCCCUCUCACUGAGUGCAUUAGCUUUGACUUUUAAUAUGUUUUAUGUCUUUUUAAUGUCGACAAAUAAUGUGUUAAAGCAUAAAAUAUUGCUAGGGUAAAAGACUGUGUUUGGAGCUCCCAACUUACACUGUGCAUGAGGUGCUAAUGGUGUAAGCACAGCCUUGGAGCGUAGUCCACUCAUACUUUGCUUCUACCAUCUCUUCAAGAGCAUCAGCAAGAUCAUGGUACCAGUGACAUGCACAGAAAAACCUGUAAUGCUGUUGGUGGCAAUAAGAUCCUCUCAACUGUUUUUCUGAGAGCACAAACCAGCAAAGUGCUUAAGCAAGGACUUUGCCUGAAGCACACUGAGCACUUCAGGAUUUAUGUAUAUACUUAGAGCUAAGAAAGCCAGUAUUUAAAUUCUUUCCUUAACCAGAAGUUUAGGGGAAAGCAGAGAAAAUAGAAAAGUGUAGGGUAAGAAUAGGGACUGGAAAGCCACUGUUCUCUGCUCCUCAGUGUGAGGGUGUUUGGUGCAAACCCUUCUGAGUGAAGCACUACAGGGACACAGCCAGAGUCACCACUCUGUACCCAAACUGCUGGCUCUCCUCUACUCGGCUGCUUGUAGUUUCUGCAUCAUUCUCAUCUUGUUACUCCCCAUCUGCACAAUGACUUCUCCAGACGUGGUCUCUCUUCCUUUUCAGAUUUUCCUUUUCUUUCACCUCCUCUUCCCUCCACACACAGCUCCAUCUCCAGACAGCUCCUUUCCUUCAGCCAGAGUAAUGAUUCCCCCGUUACAUGGAAAGCAAAACCAUAUGGGAGACAAGAAAAGGCCAUUUAUCUCAAAGUCUAUUAAGAUGUGGAGACCCUGCAUUAAAGCUCCAGUUCAGCCAGCCUUUCUUGCACAUGUUGCUGUCAUCUCCCUGCAUCAGAACAGGGAUGUACUCCUGAGGCAGACUCGCUAAUAUGCUCUUACCUUGUCACUGGGUUUGUGCUUAGCAUGGCUCUGCAUACGAAACAUUUGAAGGAAGUAAAAAAUUAUAAAGCAUUGCCAUGUCUUUACUCUGAGCCUUCAAACCCAUCUGUACCAGUUCUCCCUAUUUUAUUGUCAUCCUGGGACAGAGUCACGGAGCAGUAAACAGAGUGGGCAUGAAGCCUGGCAAAGGGGAGUCACCAAAUGGAUGCUGCUACCUGAGUGACCGGGAGGGCUGACAUUACUGAAUUAACAACUGCUUUAGGAUGAGAGAACAGAAGAUGGCUGCUCUUUUAAUUUGGGGUGAAAGUCUCAGUUUUUCACACUUGUGAGGAGUUAAGAGAUACGGAGUCCUGGAAGACACGACUCUGCUGGAGUCCUUCAGUGUCUGCUGUUAUGCUUCUGCUCCCUUCUUCAGAGUUGUAACAUAUUUGCUGAUGGAUUUACGCUGUAGUUGGAAACCAGAACCCAGGACAGCCUGUUCUUUUGCGUCGUACUAUAAACAUAAAUACACUAGCACAGCCAUUUGUAGCUGGUUCUCUGUAUCUGCACAAGGAUUUUAUUAUCUUUCUCUAAAGCAGUCUGAAGAGGAGCAAAAGACUGGCGACAAAAGGAAGUGCUUGAACAGGAACAAGAAUAAAAAGGAGCAAAGGGCAGGAAGUUGCUAAGAGACCAUGCAAGCAAGAGUAGGGAAUUAAUGGCAGAUAUCAAAGCAGCUAUUGGAAACCGCAUGUUUUCCUACAAGGGCUCAUUUAUUGAGGAGGAGCUGCUAUCAGAAGGCAGCAAUGUUGCUCUGGUCUGAAGUGCAUUUGUAACAGGGAGAAAACUUUUUCCCAUCUCCAGUUUUGUUCUUUGUAGGACGAGUUGCUAAGUUAAUGACAGGCCUUUAAAUUAACUAAUGUUAUGGAGCAGCAGAGCGAGUAAUAUGGAAAAAAAGAAUGGAAGCAAUUAUGGUUUAAAUAAACCUUAUCCACUGCAUUAUUAGAAACUACCUGAGCUGAGAUUUCAGCGGUGUUACAUUUGUCCUCAGCUCUCCCAAGUGAGAAUCUGGGCCCCACAGGGUUGAACAGUUUGGGAAAUGCUGAGUAAUUCCAGCACUGAGCUCUCAGCUGCUGUCUCAAAUUCCUCAUUUUCACGUCUUGGUUCCAUUGUUACUUUGCCUCUAAUACACGAUGGGUCUUUUGACUAUAAAAGAACGAACAAGACAAGACAAGCAGGUGAGGGAGAGCAAGAGAAGAAGAACAAUUGUAUUGAAAGGCACUUACCUGAUAAUGUUGGCAACGGCCUGAAAAACCCACACUGGCCUCCUCAGUACCUCCCAGUUCUGGACUCAAUUUGAGAUGACAUCUGCCAUAGAGUGAUAGUCUUUCUAGAUGAUUUUAAUGGCCUUUCCAACCGUAAUGAUUCUGUGAUAGCCCAUUGGCCACAGCCGCUCUGAGCAGGGCAGGGUGCUUUGCUGGCUUUGCUUGCACAGGAAAAAUUAUUGCCGUCUUUCAACCACCGCUCUGGGAGAAAUGCUCCAGCUCUGCUAUGUAGAACGGUUCCAGCUGUUCUCCACUCCCCCAGAGAUAUCAUCAGAGAGCAGUCACUUACACUGAGAUUACGUUAAUGAUAUCAAAGGGUGUGGAAGGAGGCUGCUAAUUAGUAAGCCCUCAAGGCACAAAGAUAUAAAUAGCCCUGAAGCAGCAAGAGAGCAGAUCCAAAUCUGCAGUCUGACAUUAUCUUGGGCUGAAAGCAUUAUGUGUUGACUGAUUCCACCAGAGGAGAGCGAUUGAACUUUCCUGCUGAGCAAAAAAGCAAGGCUUGUUUUGAUUGAUAAAGCUCCAUGUCAGAUUGUGCAGUGUAUUAUCUAUUUAUUGUGCCACCUGCCAUGCCUGAGACAGGAGCAGCAGCAGUGAGAACAUAAGCUGGGAUGAGCCAUCACUUUGGAGAAAAAAUAACGGCUCGUACUUUUACUUAAUAAAAUAAAUAAAUAAAAUAGUACCUGUCUAUUUCCAUUGCCAAAAGUUUAAAUGCUUCUGGGAUCCAGCCAAAAGGCAAAGAAUGUGGUAAGCAGCUGAAAUCCAUCAGCAGAGAAUUUGCCAGAAAAAUAAGGCUAUUUCAACCAGCAUGGUCACAGUAGAGAGGAAAUGGUGGUGCUGAGGGAGAUGGAAAUCUCAGCAUGGCCCUACAGAGUCUCUGUGGGCACAGGAAUCACAACACUUACAGCACUGGUGCCAGUCCACUCCCCAUCUUCUUUCAUGUCUGCAACUGGCAAACCAGUCAGGUCUCCUAAAUUGCCAUCCUGUAUUUGGAUGCAACUUACUGUACUCCACCACACUUUGCUUCCUGUAAGGAUUAUUUAUAUAAAGCGAUUGCAUUGAUUUCUUUCUACUGUUGUUGGGUGGUUUUUUUUUAAGUCCUUGGCUGUUUUUUGAACACCACAUCAACCAGCCACUUGCAGCAGCUGCACAGCACCAUCACCCUGUGAUAAACUUACACGAUUUGGUUUUACAGUGAAGGCUGGCUGUAAGGGAAGAGGGAGAUGGGAAAGCACAAGAAGUAACCCAGAUUUCCCUUCCAAACACCAUCCCAGCCAUACGCAAGGACUUGCACAGCUGUUCCCAAGUGCACUAUCAGAGCACCGCACGUAAGGAGCACUUCUGCAGGACCACACAAGUUUGCUGCUAUUCUUAAGCCGAGCCUCACAACUGGGAAACUCCUGCCAAGUUGCUUGAGACAGUGGCACCUGGGAAGUAUUAUAUGGGUCUGUAUUGCAUCAUGAGAACCCUAUUUGCACUUAAUUACACAACUCCUUCCCUCCUCCCAGUAGAAAAAGCGGGACAGAUGCUACAUCUACAAAAUGAGAAUCAAACAGAUUUUUUAAGUGGAAUCCUAGAGGCAGGCUUCAGACCAGAUCCCAGCAAUGAAGAUCCUCACAGUACUGAAUAGCUCAGGCCAACGAGCUUUUGUGCAGGGAUCCCACAUACCCUAUUGUGGACCUGUCUCAUGCUUCUGCCUCCUUAUGCAGAAAUGUAGUUGGGAAGGUUUUGACCACCAUCCUCUUCCUUGGUCUUUCUCUGCAAGCCUUUUCACAGCCAGAAGCCUGGAUAUUAUCUUCACAAGGCUCCUGCCAGGUCUUUUCUAUGGUGCUGGUCAGAACACGUUAGGAAGACUUGCAAGGAUUCACCUGUGGAUUGCACUGGUGCAUCUGGACUUGGGGCAGCAGGUUAACAGGCAUCAGUUGGGCUAACAGAUGAAGGUGUUCUGACAGGCAUGAGUGAUGGAGAGGCAGGAAAGGCUCAUGCUGGCUUUGCUAACCCAAGAUGUGUAACAGCAGCACCACCACAUCAUGUUUGACAGGAGCAGAUCUUCUCAAAACAGAGGCAGCUGGCAGGUGGGUGCAGAUGCACCACUGGCUAACACCCACCUGAAGCCCUGUGUUUGAUGCCUGGAAGGGCUGGAAGACAGCUAUUGUUCUGCAGGCCGUCCCAGGCUGUAUGGCAACAAAUGUGCAAACUGCUCUUUUUGAAGUGACUCAUUAGAAGUUUGGAUCCCCAUGUGCACUUCUAACCAGAGCUUAUGCUCUUGCAGUUAUAUGUAACUGGGGGCUUUACCAUUUUAUUCUCCCUUCAUAAGUCAGAUCUCCCAUCCUUUGCCUUAUAAUCCAAGACUGGAAAUACCUUUUCUGUUUAUGUCACACCAUCGUAAUGCAGUCACUGAUCUGCCACAAGAUUCAGCUGCUGUAAAUUCUUUUCCUACUGCCCUUUCGCCAACAGCUUUCAUGCAGUGACUCACAGGUCUGGGCAUUGAUUCAGUAGUUUCUUUAAGGAGGACCCAGAAGGUAUGAUGGAAAAGUAUGUUUAUCAGAUGUGAUACAGUUGAAUGAAUACAGUGAAUUUUGUCCUACAUGAACAAAAAUGCAGAUCCAGCAAGGAAAGUUUUAAUGUGCUCAGUUUAAAAACUUGGCAGAUAACAAUUAAUGCUGUGGAUGAGAAGUGGGGUUCCCAUAAACACUGUGUAGUUUAAGUCAGUGCAGAUCACAAACUGUUUCUGUGCAGCUCCCCUUCUGACAGCUUUCAAAACAAAAUGGGAGAUCUUCCAUGGUUUCACUUUCAUACUUGUCUGAUUCCAUUUGAAAAUGUUAGGGCACACACAGAGAAAUAGUUCGGCUUUCAUGUUUCCUUCAGCGUGUGGUGUAAGCAUGUUCUAACUACAUACGGAGGCUAGAUGGUGUUUGGCCUAUUUGGCACAUUCAGAAAACAUGCAUGCCUAACUUUGCAGUUCAAAUGUGAGUCAGUAUCGCAAUUAGAUGUUUUAUAUGCUGAGAAAUGCUGUGUCUUCAAAUAAGAUGAUUAGCAGACAGCAUUUGCAAUGCAAUGCAUGCUGGAUACUGUUAGGUGAAACAAUAUUUCUUGUAUCAGGAUUGUGAUUGGUAUCUCCUUUAUAAAGAAGUCUCCCCUUAGAUCUUCAUGAGGGGUUUUCCCCCCAGGUCUUCAGGAGCUGUACCCCAUGGACAGGUUCCCCACAAGGCAACAGUUCUGGUUUCCUCUGGUGCUGGAGAAAGCGCCACAAAGAUGAGCUCAGGGCUAUCACUGCUUUUUGGCUCUCUGGAAUAUGGUAGAAAGUUUGCAUGAUUAAAUUCCUUUCAGAACUGGAAAACUGAUAUUCAUUCACAUUCAAGCCUUUUCUGCUUGUGUGUCAUGUGGCUAUGUCAUUAUUCAAGCAGCUCUGCUGGCCAGAAAAUGUAAAGUGGAAUUGCUGUAAAAUAGCUGUGGUAUGAGAUGGUGCCCAUCAUUGUUGUUGCUUUCCUCCCAGCUUUCUGGUCCAGAAUUAAUUCUGGUUUUCUCAUUAAUAACUAGUGUUCAGCAGUGCAAAGUCUUGUACCUUGUUCUGUGGAUGUAUUUCCUCAUGAGGGGUAAGACCUGCCAUACCCUGCAGGGAGUCCAAUCUGGCUGCUGCAUGGGCAGGCAGAAAGAAGUCUUGGACAAAAAACAAACAAACAAAAAACCCAGCAAAUUAAAACUUCUUGGAAAGUUGGGAUCCUGGAAACUGCUUGGAUCCUGCUGGAUCUGGAAGCGCCUGUGUCUGCAGCACUCUGUUGGACGUCACUUCUAGUUACACAUGUGCCUAAGUAUUUUGUGGGGCCAGGCCCUCAGAGCCAGCAGAAACACCCACGCUCUUCCAGACUCUGUCCAGGGACACAAACACUUCCAGUUUUUCCUCUGGAGAAACCCAGUGUGUCCUUGCCUGCUUAGCAGAGACACCGAGAUGCACCCUGCAUGGAUCUCCUCACCAGUCAGGGACUGAUGUAUGUGUGGAUGGAUGGACAGAUGUGUGGAUGGGUAGAUGAAUGGACAGACCACCGCAGACACUGGUCAGGCAGCAUCUGAAGGUGCCGGAUUUUCCUCUGGCUGCUGACAGCUUUCCUGGGGCAGCCGGAGGAUGCCUGCACUCUGGGUUUGUUAGUGUUAUUCCAGCCAAGCUCUGCAGCCAGAUCAUCUCACAUCAGCUGCGUAUUAUCCGGAGCCAUGGAAGGAGCUGUUUUUUAGAGGAAAUGCUUGUUUUAUAGGGUCCCCUCUGGUCUAGGAAAAAAUAUAUUAGAUGCGUGUGCUGCUCCAGGAGCAGACAAAGAAUAUUAACUGUGACUCUUACUCAUGGUGCAGGUAUGAGGGAGGAGGAAAGCUGCUCAUCUCCUUUUUGGCCAGUGCUUGACUCCUGCCUGAAUCCUCUGAUUGAAAAACAAAAUGGGUUAGAUCAGGGUUUUUCUCACUCAUGUUCUUUCCAUGUCACAGAGUAAAAGGCUGGAGCUGGACUUUGUGCUGUCCUUUGUGGCUCAGUGACCUGGGAUGCUCUGCCUGGCCGACACAGCAAGAAGCAUUCCAUGGCAUAGGGCUGCUUGAUGGAAAGCACAGAUCGACUCCAGCUUCUGCCUGCUGCUGCUCAGUGUAAUCUGUAGGUUGGCAAAUCCAGCCUUGAGCAGGGCUUUUUUUCAGGUUUGAGUACAUCAUGUUUUUGAGUAAACCUGAAUUCCCUUAUAUUGUUUUUAAUAAAAAAGAAGGAAAUCCACCACAGAAGUAUGCAUGUUGAAGAUUCAAAAAACACUGACAUAAUGAAUGGAUCUUCAUUUCAGGAAGGACAAGCAGUGGGACUCGGUUAAGCCACUGUCAGUAUCUCUUUCACUUUCUGAGUGACUUUAAACUGUGUAGUUCUGCUAAAAAAAAAAUGAGUAAAGAAAUCUUUCCUCGGUGCCUUCCUAUAUGUUCCUUCAUUUUCUCGAUCACCAUUGCUGUGCUCUGCCAGACUUUAGCUAAGUUGUGCGACCAGUGCUAGACCCUUCUAACUGGAUAAGCCAAUGCUUCCUCAUAACAAUACAAAACAAAUAUAAAUAGAUUCAGGGACAAUUUGUCCAACAUGGAUCCAUAGUGCAGCAUGGAUUCUGGAGUCGUCUUCAAAGUGUUUCGAAAAUGACCUAUGGAUGUCUGUCUAGUUUGUUACGAGUCCAGAGGGAUUUUCAAUACGAUGGCCUUGGGUUAUUAAAUUACUGCUGGAAAUGUGGAGUUGACCUCCAGUGGAAAAUAUUUCUGUAAAAAAAUGUCAGCGAACUUUUUAGUGAACUUUCCUCUGCUGUUUCUUCUCUCAACUCAAAAUAAACAAUAGAUUUGUA